rnacentral:misc_RNA from 1 species
GAUGAAGAACGUAGCGAAAUGCGAUAAGUAAUGUGAAUUGCAGAAUUCAGUAAAUCAUCGAAUCUUUGAACGCACAUUGCGCCCCUUGGUAUUCCGGGGGGCAUGCCUGUUCGAGCGUCAUUUCAACCCUCAAGCUCAGCUUGGUAUUGAGUCCAUGUCAGUAAUGGCAGGCUCUAAAAUCAGUGGCGGCGCCGCUGGGUCCUGAACGUAGUAAUAUCUCUCGUUACAGGUUCUCGGUGUGCUUCUGCCAAAACCCAAAUUUUCUAUGGUUGACCUCGGAUCAGGUAGGGAUACCCGCUGAACUUAAGCAUAUCAAUAAGCGGAGGA